GUAUUUUACGUCCGCUUCCACCGAGGUGAUAUCGCAGACAAUGACGUGUUAUGUGUACAAGGUGCAUUAAUUUACAAUGUGAUUAGUGAGAAAUAAUAGGAUGAUUAGGUUUUCAUAUAUAUGUACAUAGGACAAUAAACAACAGUAGGAUAACAUGUGCAAAGGACGAAACAGGUGCCAGUAGACAUUUACAAGCAUGCGAUUUGACGCAACAGACAUGGACAAAGACGGACAUUUUCACAGACAUAGACAUAUUAUGUACAUAUAUAUAUAUUUUGGGUCGUUUGGGUUGGUCUGGUCGUUCUGUCCGGUAGAAUGGCAGGGCGGUGCAACUCUACCUUGGGGCUUUGUUGCAUCAACUCUAAAACAUGAACACCAUCUUAUCUCUCGCUCUCUGUCUGGCUCUAGCCACUGUUGCUCUAGGAGUAAACCCAAUGAUGGGUGGAUUAGGUAUGAUGGGAGGAUACAGUCCAUACAUGAUGGGAGGUAUGGGUAUGAUGGGUGGACUUGGUAUGAUGGGUGGUAUGGGUAUGAUGGGAGGAUACAAUCCAUACAUGAUGGGUGGUAUGGGUAUGUAUGGAGCUGGACUUGGUAUGAUGAGUGGAAUGUACAACCCUAUGAUGAUGGGAGGUCUUGGUUUUGGAAAAUAAGAGCCUAAUUAACAGAUAGAAAUGACAGAUUUAUUUACCAAGAAUUGUCCACCAGGUUAAGAUAGUACCAAAAUAGAUUUAGUAUACUUGUAUACUGAUGUAUAGUGAUAGUACCAGAACAGAUUUAGUGUAAUUGUAUACCGAUGUAUAGUGAUAGUACCAGAACAGAUUUAGUAUACUUGUAUACUGAUGUAUAGUGAUAGUACCAGAACAGAUUUAGUAUAACUGUAUCCUGAUGUAUAGUACACUUUGUAUUUGUAAUUGUAUAAGUACCAGAACAGAUUUAGUAUAGUAUAUGUAUUUGUAAUUGUAUAAGUACCAGAACAGAUUUAGUAUAACUGUAUACUGAUGUAUAGUAUAAUUUGUAAUUGUAUAAGUAGUAUAAUUGUAUACUGAUGUAUAGUUAAAAUUGUAAUUGUAGAAGUACCAGAAUAGACGUAGUGUAAUUGUUCCCUAAUGUAUAGUAUAACAUGUAUUUGUAAUUGUAUAAUUACCCUUGAAAUUGUCAUUUGUAUAUUUUUUUAAGGUUGAAUUACAAUCUGACUACAGCAUCGAUCAUAUUCCGUU